rnacentral:rRNA from 1 species
UCCGUAGUGAACCUGCGGAAGGAUCAUUACUGAAGUGAUUUGGGGAUGUUGCUGGCCUCUUCUCGGAGGCAAUGUGCACUCCUUGAGCAAUUCAAAAUUUCCAUCACACCCUUGUGCACAUCUUGUAGGCGUCCACUCACCUUCAUUGGUCUGGGCGUCCUAUGUAUUCCCUCAUCUCACACUUUUUGAAUGGUGCUCUUGAAUGCAUCUUAUGGAUUAUUUGUAAAAAAAGUAAUCACAGAAACAACUUUCAACAAUGGAUCUCUUGGCUCUCGCAUCGAUAAAGAACGCAGCGAAAUGCGAUACGUAAUGUGAAUUGCAGAAUUCCGUGAAUCAUCGAAUCUUUGAACGCACCUUGCGCCUCUUGGUAUUCCGAGGGGCAUGCCUGUUUGAGUGUCGUUGAAUCCUCAAAAGGGAAGCUUGACUGUUUCUCUUUUGGAAUUGGGGUGUGCUGGCCUUUUGUCAAUGAAGCCCAGCUCCUCUAAAAUGCAUUAGCGAUGUGACAUCCGCAUGCACCACGCUUCUCUGGCAUUGAUAGUAUCUUCAUGCUAGGGGCGGGGUUUUGCAGCUGUGGAAGGCUUUGCUCGCUCACAACCGAUGGCGUGGAGAGGUGCCUUUGUGCCUCCUCACCUAUCCUCUGACAAUAUCACCUCAAAUCAGGUCGGAUUACCCGCCGCAAUUAAGCCUAUCAAUAAGCGGAGGA